CGAACGGGUGAGUAACGCGUGAGGAACCUGCCUCAAAGAGGGGGACAACAGUUGGAAACGACUGCUAAUACCGCAUAAGCCCACGGUUCGGCAUCGAGCAGAGGGAAAAGGAGCAAUCCGCUUUGAGAUGGCCUCGCGUCCGAUUAGCUAGUUGGUGAGGUAACGGCCCACCAAGGCGACGAUCGGUAGCCGGACUGAGAGGUUGAACGGCCACAUUGGGACUGAGACACGGCCCAG
rnacentral:rRNA from 1 species